rnacentral:rRNA from 1 species
UACGAGGGGGGCAAGCGUUGUUCGGAUUUACUGGGCGUAAAGGGCGCGUAGGCGGCGCGACAAGUCACUUGUGAAAUCUCUGGGCUCAACCCAGAACGGUCAAGUGAUACUGUCGUGCUAGAGUGCGGAAGGGGCAACUGGAAUUCUUGGUGUAGCGGUGAAAUGCGUAGAUAUCAAGAGGAUCACCUGCGGCGAAGGCGGGUUGCUGGGCCGACACUGACGCUGAGGCGCGAAAGCUAGGGGAGCGAACGGG